rnacentral:rRNA from 1 species
AACGAACGCUGGCGGCAUGCCUAACACAUGCAAGUCGAACGAGACCUUCGGGUCUAGUGGCGCACGGGUGCGUAACGCGUGGGAACCUGCCCUUAGGUUCGGAAUAACUCCCCGAAAGGGGUGCUAAUACCGGAUAAUGUCUUCGGACCAAAGAUUUAUCGCCUUUGGAUGGGCCCGCGUUGGAUUAGCUAGUUGGUAGGGUAAAAGCCUACCAAGGCGACGAUCCAUAGCUGGUCUGAGAGGAUGAUCAGCCACACUGGGACUGAGACACGGCCCAGACUCCUACGCGAGGCAGCAGUGGGGAAUAUUGGACAAUGGGCGAAAGCCUGAUCCAGCAAUGCCGCGUGAGUGAUGAAGGACUUAGGGUUGUAAAGCUCUUUUACCCGGGAUGAUAAUGACAGUACCGGGAGAAUAAGCUCCGGCUAACUACGUG